GCCUGGCUGGCUCAGCCUAUAGAGCACGCGACUCUUGAUCUCGGGGGUGUGAGUUCGAGCCUCACGUUGGGUG
rfam:Ailuropoda melanoleuca scaffold2341_14, whole genome shotgun sequence.